rnacentral:rRNA from 1 species
UACGUAGGGUGCAAGCGUUAAUCGGAAUUACUGGGCGUAAAGCGUGCGCAGGCGGUUGUGCAAGACCGAUGUGAAAUCCCCGGGCUUAACCUGGGAACUGCAUUGGUGACUGGCAGGCUUUGAGUGUGGCAGAGGGAGGUAGAAUUCCACGUGUAGCAGUGAAAUGCGUAGAGAUGUGGAGGAAUACCGAUGGCGAAGGCAGCCUCCUGGGGCCAACACUGACGCUCAUGCACGAAAGCGUGGGGAGCAAACAGG